ACAAUAAAAUAAUCGUAGUCAUAGGACAACAUUUUCACAUCGAAGCACCACUAACUAUAUAAUUUAAUAAUUCGUAAUAGGUUACAAUUUAAACUUAUGUAGCCUAUUGUUUCUUGAAUACCGUUGUUUAUGUGUAGUUGAACGUGUUACAGUAUCUUUCUUAAACAGAGACCAUCACAAGAGCUUGGAGGACAUGCAGCACUUUAACAUGAUUUGUGAUUCAAGAACUUCUCCUACAUUACAUUUCAUGGAGGAAGUUUGGAGAAAUGUGUGAAAUCAAUAAAGUGCGCAGCGCCGACCGAUCAUCGAUUAAACGGAAACAAACAAAUGCAGAGGAGGCGUAACAUAAAGGACGACAGAGCGUACACAUUAAAGAGAUUGGCCUGUCAUAAUCUAUGCCGCUGAGUAAUCAGUGUUGGAUUGUGUUCUGCUACAAUAGCACCCGAAAAAGGACGGCUAGAAAAAGUCCCAUCCCAGAAAGGUGACAUCAUCCUCUUUGCCAAAGAAAGAUGACUGCUGCCACACCUGGAAUACUGCAGGGCAAAGAGAAGAUUGAAAUUGUGGAGUCUCAGUGGGAUUAAUUGAAGGUGGAAAGCAAGAGGGAGCGAGAAGUGGAAAGACGUGGAAAACAGGGGAAACAUGGAAAAACAAUCUCUUGCGUCCCUGAGGAAUGGAGUGAUGCGAAGAACUUGUCUAAGGGUGUUGAACAGAGAUGCUUGGAAAGUCUUCUCUCCACCUGAGUGAAGAGUCAAGGUCAUACACAGGCCACGAUUCAUCAACAUCAGCCCAAAUCACAGCUCUACCCAUGAAACACAAAAACAGACAUCACCCCGAUGUCCUCCUCCUGCUGCUGGAGCAGGGAGAGAUGCCUCUCAAGGUCCACUCGGCGAUCUUCAUGGAGAUUGCCUACCACUCCGACAACCUGGACAGCGGCCUCUGAACAUUCUUCCAGACAAGCCUCAACGA